UAUUUCCUUUUCCAGCUACUCUGCCUAAAGCCCCAUCACUCUGACAGCAAGAAGUGGUGCUUUAUUGCCUCCAGAUUAGAAGAUCUGAAAGAGGAGAGGAUGGAGAUGCUGCAUCUGGCAUCAGUUCUUCAGCUCUUGCAUUCACCCAUCUGUGGUCUGGGCAGCCUGAGGAAAAUUUUUCUCCUUAAAGACCUAACAAAUGGUUGUAUGGCUCCCUGCAGAGUUCACAGCUGGGUGCGAGUUUAGCCAGCAAAUGCAAAUCUUUGGCUCAAGCAAGUGGAGAAAUGACAUAUGUGCUGAACACUGAAACGUGCAUGUUUUGUGUAAUAGUCAUGCCUAUUAAGUCCAAGCAGAGAACUUCCCAGGAAAAAGGCUGCUCCACAGCCUUCCCUGCAAAUCAUUAACACCGCAGCCCACGUGUUCCUGUGCCUGCUAACACUACUCAGCAGUGCUGACCAUAUUAUCACAUCCCUCUUUUACUGUCCUUGAAUGAAUAGCUCAGCCCUGUCCCCGACUUUGCAAAAUCAGUAAGAAGGUUACAGCAGGAAUCCGUGUCAUUCUCUCCUAAAUGAUCCCGUGGGAUCAAACACAAAUCAGUACGUGGAGUGCUUGCCAUUUUUACAGAAGGAAUGGAGCAGGUAGGAGUUUAUUUUCUGACAGCACUUCCAGAGCACAGGAUCUCACCCUGUGUUCCAACAGUAGUGAAACAGGAAGCUUUCCAGAGAGCAACUUUUGCCAUCAGAAAUCACAGCUUUCGGAAAGCGAACGCUCAUAUGAGAGCACCUUGACUUUGGUUAUGUUUGAAAUGGGAAGAAAGGUUCCAGUUGAGGCAUUUUUAAUUUGUCAUUUUCCUUUAAACAAUGCCAGCAUGCUCCUGCUGCAAAUUCUGGCCUUGACUUCUCCAGAGAUGUGAAAAGGAAACAGCACCAUGACGUGCAGAAGAUUGAGCAUGCCAUGAAAAUGUAGAUUUUCGUCCUCAGACCAAAGUAAAGGUUAUUUAACAGCUGUGUUAAAGCAGAACCUAUUCAGAACUUUCCAUGCUGUGAAAGAUAAAUUCAGAGUUUCACUCCAAAUGUGUUCCCAAGUGCAAUGUGGCUGUGUGGAUGGACAGAAGUACUGAAGGGGUUGGACUCCAACCAUUUAUGCUGUGGAACCUCUUCCUGCUUGGUGUGGUAGCCUGAAGAUGUGUGCUUGGGCUCAGAAAUUGCUUCAGUAAUUUGAAGGAAGAAAAGGUAAUUGUGGACUAUUAAACAUACUCUGGUUUGAAACCAGGAGUCAAAAAUCAUGAGUGUUGAGAGUGGCUGGAGACAGGGAAGGAAAAUGUAUGUGUCCUGAUCUUGUAAUCUCUAUUCAUCUGCAGGCUAUGGGGCUAUCUCUAAUUUUUGAUGCUUUCCUUGCCAUAGAUAGACGUUGCAGGGCAUGGGGUGCACCAAAUUGCAAGCCCUCUCUACCCUGGUCAGCUCAUUUUGAAAGCAUUGUGUCUUAUUUAUGUGUGUUCUAGGACUGAUCUGAUAAAUUUGUUGGGGUUGGAUAUAAGGGAUAUAUAUGCCAUGAGAGGCUAUAUAGGCAUGCUUUUCUGAGCAGCUAGAAACUAAUCUCUGUGCUGCUUCCUACCUGUGUUGUGUCCUGUUGGCUAUCCAUGCUGCCAGUUUGACUUGGGCGGUAUCUCCACCAUGGUGGUAUCUCAGAAGUUUGACCCCUGCUCUGAGGGUCUGAUGAGCCCCUAAGAAAUACCCACUUAGGAAGAUAGGAAUUCAAGCGCUUCUGAAAAUGGGUAGAAGAAAUUUGGCAGAAGACAAGGCAUAUCUGAAGAGGAGACAGCUGGUGAAAUUCUCCUGUUGCCAUUUAAAAUUC
rnacentral:lncRNA from 7 species